ACGGGUGCGUAACACGUGAGCAAUCUGCCGAAAAGUGGGGGAUAGCUCGCCGAAAGGCGAAUUAAUACCGCAUAUGGCCAGGGAAGACAUCUUCCCGAAGCUAAAGUCGCAAGACGCUUUUCGAUGAGCUCGCGGCCUAUCAGCUAGUUGGUGAGGUAACGGCUCACCAAGGCAAUGACGGGUAGCUGGUCUGAGAGGACGACCAGCCACACUGGAACUGAGACACGGUCCAGACACCUACGGGUGGCAGCAGUCGAGAAUUUUUCACAAUGGGGGAAACCCUGAUGGAGCGACGCCGCGUGGAGGAUGAAGGCGUUUUCGUCGUAAACUCCUGUCAAAUGGGAACAAGAAAGUGAUAGUACCAUUAGAGGAAGAGACGGCUAACUCUGUGCCAGCAGCCGCGGUAAUACAGAGGUCUCAAGCGUUGUUCGGAUUCAUUGGGCGUAAAGGGUGCGUAGGUGGUUUGGUAAGUUGAAGGUGAAAUCUCGGAGCUUAACUCCGAAACUGCCUUCAAUACUGCCGGACUUGAGGACUGUAGAGGAGAAUGGAAUUCACGGUGUAGCAGUGAAAUGCGUAGA
rnacentral:rRNA from 1 species